GGGACCCGAGCAGGGGUGUACAUACGUGAUCAGGAUUGACUGGUUCUCGCGAUCUGGGGAAGAGGCAGAAAUACAGUGUUUAAAACUCAAUGAACAUCACAGAAAGAAUGAAAUGUAGUCAGGAACAGGUGGUGGCUUACAGAAAAGGAGGGCUGCAGCUUCCAUUCUUUGCGAGGCAGAGAACAGUCAGACCGGUAAGGGGAACAAACAAUAGCAUUGCGUUUUCCAGAGACAACAAGAAGAGCUUAGUUGCGCAUAUUACAGCUUUUUCUACUCUUACUUCUCUAGUAUUUCCAUUCCUGCAGAAUUCCAGAGCCCUUUGACCAUCUCAGAGCUCAGCCCACACACUGGAAGAUGGCCCAGGGAUGGACUGCACUGCAGCUGAACUCAAAGCACAGCAGUCAAAGAGAAGAGGCAAAAUGUGAGCGGAUCCUGAAUACAGGCUGUCCUGCACGGCAACGCGGCGUGGGCAAGACUCUGCAGUGCUGACAUUCCCAUAGAAGAGGGAGGAUUUGGGCAUGCCGAAAAUAGACCCUUCUUGAGAUGGAGACCAGGCAGCUGCCUCACUCCCUGCCACCCUUUAAGAGGAGUCUUCCCCUCCCCCAUGAUCCGUGACUGUCUGUGAGACCAGGAGAAUAAAGUCACCUCUCAGAAAGGCAGCACAGAUCUGGUGGGAAAGCAAAGGCAUUCCUUAGACU